AACGCACGCUAGGGUUACCGCGGCUGCUGGCACGGAGUUAGCCGGUGCUUCUUCUGCGAGUAACGUCACAGAUGUAAGGUAUUAACUUACACCCUUUCCUCCUCGCUGAAAGUGCUUUACAACCCGAAGGCCUUCUUCACACACGCGGCAUGGCUGCAUCAGGGUUUCCCCCAUUGUGCAAUAUUCCCCACUGCUGCCUCCCGUAGGAGUCUGGGCCGUGUCUCAGUCCCAGUGUGGCUGAUCAUCCUCUCAGACCAGCUAGGGAUCGUCGCCUAGGUGAGCCUUUACCUCACCUACUAGCUAAUCCCACCUGGGCUUAUCCAUCAGCGCAAGGCCCGAAGGUCCCCUGCUUUCCCCCGUAGGGCGUAUGCGGUAUUAGCAGUCGUUUCCAACUGUUAUCCCCACAAAUGGGCAAAUUCCCAGGCAUUACUCACCCGUCCGCCGCUC
rnacentral:rRNA from 1 species